GAUGUGCAUAUUUCUGCUUUUCAGCCA
rnacentral:piRNA from 1 species